UACGUAGGUGGCAAGCGUUGUCCGGAUUUACUGGGCGUAAAGGGCGUGCAGGCGGUUUGUUAAGUGCAGGGUGAAAGCUCCCGGCUCAACUGGGAGAGGUCCUUGCAUACUGGCAAACUCGAGGGAGGCAGAGGAAAGUGGAAUUCCCGGUGUAGUGGUGAUAUGCGUAGAUAUCGGGAGGAACACCCGUGGCGAAGGCGGCUCCCUGGUCCGUUUCUGACGCUGAGACGCGAAAGCGCGGGGAGCGAACGGG
rnacentral:rRNA from 1 species